CCUCUCCUUUUUAUCCUUUUUUUUGUUAGCGGUUCAAAAUCGUUAUCUUUCU
rnacentral:tRNA from 1 species